GUUAAGCAGCGCUUAAAACUUUUAUUUUAGAAAAUGAAAGUACAGUGAAGGUUUUAGCCACCAGUUAGCUGAAAGCAUUCAUAGCAGAAUCUCUCCUCACAUCAGCAAGACGAAGUUCAACAGGGACAUGACAAUGUUUAUUGUCACAGAAGCAGAGAAGAAUUAUGUUUCUGCAAGCCUCAGGGAGAGGCAGAGAAGAGUCCAGCUUGCAGGGCAUGAGAAGGCAGCUCCCUGUCUUCAAGAGCUCACUGAGGGUAAGGUCAGUGAGAUGGCUCCCAAAGAACAAAGUUGUUCCAGCCGCCAUCUGGUAAGGCAACUGUCCUGCUGUGUUAAAAACCACAUCCCUGAGCUUCUCUCUAAAUGUGAACUUCUUUUUAUUUUUUUUUUCUUUUCCCUAAAGACUACUAUAAAGACUAACAGGAAAAAAAAAAGAAAAAAAAAAAAAAAAGAGAGAGAGAGAGAGAAAGAAAGAAAACUUGCAUGGACAUGAAUCACUGAGGAAAAAAAAAAAAAAAAAAGGAAAAGAGACUGUAACCCUGUUCUGCAGCUGUUCUGCAGAAAGGUAAAACUCUUUGUUUCUCCAUUUUCUUUCUCAGUAUCUGUUCCUCAGAAUUCAAAACCAUCACUAAAAGGCCUCUUCAUCUGUAAAUUUUCCAUCCUUAAAUCAGGUGACCUCCCUGAGCUCUUCUUAGAGCUUCCUUGGUGAUUCUUGGUCAUCAGUCUCCCCAAAAUCCAGACUUUAAAAACUGUUCUGCCCAUAGCAGUAGUUUGCAUGUUGUCUAUUCUCAUUUGAAUAGCUAAUCAUUGAGGCCUAACAUACUCACAUUGAUGGCUUUCUGCAAGGCACAAAAAUUUCUCCUGGCAAUCCCAGCCUACUUUAGUAAAGGUGAAGGUGCAAUGUACUCAUGUAAUUCAAUUAAUGCUCAGAAUACAAAACAUAGUUUGUAAUUUAACACAUAUUAUUCAAAAUAGCAAAGAGAAUCCACAUUUGUGGAUAUAGGGUUCCUGAGCUGCCACAGAAACUCUCUGGCAAAGUUAUGCAGAUUUGCCACAAAGUCCUUAUCAGAAAUGUAUUUAGAACCUAAAUCCUAUCAGUUCACUUUUGCCUUUAAACUUCCCUUGUCAACCUCUGUAACAGACAUAAACUGUGAGGAGAAACUGAAUCAAACUGAACCUAUUAUGUUAAGUGCAGAUUUCCCAGGUAUUUUCAGGUUACAGACAGACGCCGAAGAAAAGGGGCUCUGGUCCCAUCCUCUGUAGCAAACAUAAGGCAGUAAAAAUAUUGCCAGCACAGCUCUCAAAAUCAUGGGCGCUCUUGAUAACAUCUUGGUGGCUUCCUUGUUUUAUUUUUAUAGGAUUUAUAUAUAUUUUCUGGCAGCAUCUUUACCCCAAAGCCUUUUCCUUUAUGGAAGAAUGACUAAUACACUGAUAAGGGCCAUUAGAGUUAUCAGACUUUAACGAGAAUCUGUACAUGUUUGCAUAAAUAAUUAGUUUCAGAGCAAGCCUUCUAGAUGAGGACUCUGUAUUACCACUUGCAAAAUGUUCACACCAUGUGUCUGUGUUUGGUUCUAAUUUAAAGUUGUCGUAAUUCAGUGGCAUCAGCUAUCAUCUCCGGUGACACGAUUUUUCAUUCAUGUGUUCAAAAUAAUGAUUCUUGCUUUCAGUUGUCAUUUCAGUUCUACGCCCCCAUUUGCUCGCCUCCAUCCCACAAAGUGCAUGAUUCAGCAUCCCUUAAGGGUGAGGUGUGGCUCACAAAGAUAUCAGUCAACAUGACAGUAAGGACUCUGACAAGCAUGGACUGAUAGGCAGCUGGAAGGCCUGAACGGAGAGACAGACAUACUAAUAUGCAGGAUCGUCUCUACUGAAAUGCCAGCCAGCUUGCUCUUUAUCAUUCACACCAUCACGUGUUCUUUUCCUUGGCUUGCAAUUUUAUCAUGUUAUGCAAAAUAGAAUCAUGGAAUCACAGAAUAUCCUGAGUUGGAAGGGACCCAGAAGGAUCAUCGAGUCCAACUCCUGGCUCCACAUGGGACCACCCAGAAAUCAGCCCAUGUGUUUGAGAGCGUUGUCCUAAUGCUUCGUGAACUCUGUCAGGCUUGGUGCCAUGACCACUGCCCUGGGCAGCCUGUCCCAGUGCCCAACCACCCUCUGGGUGCAAAACCUUUCCCUAACCCCCAGCCUGACCCUCCCCUGUCCCAGCUCCAUGCUGUUCCCUUGGGUCCUGUCGCUGUCCCCAGGGAGCAGAGCUCAGCGCCUGCCCCUCCGCUCCCCUUGUGAGGGAGCUGCAGGCCGCCAUGAGGCCUCCCCUCAGCCUGCUCUGCUCAGGGCUGAACAAACCAAGGGGCCUCAGCCGCUCCUCAUACACCUUGCCCUCUAGACCUCUCACCAUCUUUGCAAUCCUCCUUUGGACACUCUCUAAUAGUUUUAUGUCCUUCUUAGCUGCGGUAUCCAAAACUGCACACAGUACACAAUGUCUCUUCAGUCCUCUCCUCCUACCUGGUGGCGAGAAGGAAGGGGAUCCUUCAUUUCUUCUUUGUGGCUGGCUGAUGCAUCUGUCUCGGGGAUGGUAGGAUAUAAUUCCACCAGUCAAUCUCCUUCUCCAGCUAACUCCCUGGUGCUCCUCAGCCUGCCCACCUCCUCCCAAAGCUCUGCCACCUGGGUGCACUUCCCACAGCUGUGCUCACUGCUCUUCUCAGACACUGACAGAAAACUCAGGCACCCCCUGCAACCUGAGACCUGAAUGGCUGCAUACCCCCUUGGGAGCUCUGUCUAGGUAGCUGCAUUGCUUUCUGUGGCUGGAGAAGCCACAAGGGAUACAGAGGACAGCUUUUCCAGGUGGAUACCGUGACCAGAGCUCUUUGCAAGCAGGUUACAACUGCUGUUGGAAGUGGCAGUGACAGCACUCUCCCUAUAUUCCCUCCCACAUAAGCUGCCCACAUACAUCAUAUGCCAGCAGGCAUUUCGGGGUAGUUUUGCUUGUUUGGAUGAAGUAUGUGUUUAUGAAGACAGCUGGAACUCUUUAGGAAAGAACUUGUUUUCAUGGCUGUGUUUGGAAGCAAAACAAGUAAGUGAUUGUUGCAUUUUCUGCAGGCAACUGGUUAUGCAUUGUUGGAAUUCCCAAAUUUCGAAACCUAUAAAAAUCCAGAGGCUGGAGUGGUUGGAAAAUAAUGAGACAGCUUUUUCCUUACUUUUCUCUCCACCCUUCAGAAUGGUUCCAAAUACAUUUUAGACUAGGGAAAGCUGUUGGUUACACACUGCUUUUAGCAAGUACUCUUUUUGUCUUGUCUAAUGACCUCCUUUCUGACAUCUAUGUUGCAAAUGGUAAGUGAGAUGUAAGCCUUCUCUUCAUCUCCUUAUGGCAAGGAUUAGAAGACAAUAUAAAAAUAGAAAAAGCAACUAUAUGGAAAAAGAUGGUAGGGCUUUCCACAAGGAAAACAUAAGUGAUGUGGUAGGAUAUCAGACACUUGUUUCUCUCAAUAACUACCCAUCAGAAGUCAAAAAAAUGGAAAUGCAAACAACCGAGUAAUACUUCAACCAGAAGGUACUUUUGAAAUAAUCAUUGCACAUCCUAGGAUAUUUCAUUGGCUGAUGAAAUUCUACUUCACUACAUCUAGCCAUUCGUACUUCUGUCAAGGGGAUAAAUGAGUGAAUGCAGAGCAGGCAGAGAAUGCCCCCAUCCUCAGGAUGGAUACAUUAAACCACAAUCCUAACAGAAUCAAAAGAAAGUGUUGAGACAGCAGUAAAGAAGAAAUGAGCAUAACAAGGUCCUAGUCCUAUAGCAAUACAUCACACCAAGUGCAUAUGUCUAUGUAUGUUAUAUAUCACAAGUUCCUAGUCACAGGAAAACAUUAUAGAUAUUUUAGAUUGCUGUUGAAUACUGUUUCAAAAUGGUACAAUAUCCCUUUCCUGCAUUGUUAGCACAGACGUUCAUAACAUAUACUAUCCAUCUCGGCACAACAACUUCUCAGAAACAGAGGGAGGAGGGGUGGAAACAUUCCACAGCACAAAAAUGAAAUUCUGAGAGUACUACUGUUACUAAAAUAAAGAGAUGGCAAUAUAAUAUAAACA
rnacentral:lncRNA from 1 species